rnacentral:rRNA from 1 species
UACGUAGGGGGCAAGCGUUGUCCGGAUUCAUUGGGCGUAAAGAGCGUGUAGGCGGCCAGGUAGGUCGGUUGUGAAAACUUGAGGCUCAACCUUCAGAGGUCGACCGAAACCAUCUGGCUAGAGUCCGGGAGAGGAGAGUGGAAUUCCUGGUGUAGCGGUGAAAUUCGUAGAUAUUGGGAAGAACACCGGUGGCGAAGGCGGCGACCUGGUCCUUGACUGACGCUGAGGCGCGAAAGCGUGGGGAGCAAACAGG